AUAAAUGGGACAUAAAUGUAAAUAUGGAUCCAAAGGUCGUUUCACUUUAGAUUCUUUCGUUUCUUCUUUUAUUACUAUUUUGUUUU
rnacentral:ribozyme from 11 species